UUCACAAGUGGCCAUCAAGAACAGCUGGUUUUCUAAGAGGCUUCCGAGAUUUGAAAAACGGUGGCUAAUGAUGACAACAGCAACAGCACUGAGCACAGAAAACUCCACAGGCCUGGGCUCGGCUCAUCGCACAGCCUCCAUCUCUGGAUGCCCUGAUUCAAGGAGAUUCAAAACCCGUGUCACUGCUGCCAUCUUCCUAGAAUCCCUUUAAAUCCUCAUGGAUUUGCUGACAUUGGGAGCAUCCUGAAAGAGUCCCCAUGCUAGGGUGGCUGCAGUAACAGGUACAAUGAGAAAUGAUGGUUCUCCCCACUCCAGAAAAAAUCAAAUCAGAUUGUGAAUUUAUUCCCUGACAUUAACACACGGCAUUACAGGAGCAUGUACAUCACAUGGUCAAUUUAUUGGCAUGAGGAUUAUGUCAUCGGGGAAUAAAUGGGAAAUUCUCAAGGUGGCCCAGGCCUGUAGGCUUCCAGUGAGAAAACUGGAGACCACACUCACCCGUCCCACUGCCGUUUCUUUGGGGCUGCCUGUGAUACUGGGUUAUUCCCCUUGCCGAGUUCCACUGUGCUUACCCUGUUGGAAUAUGAUGGUGGACUUGCCAGAGGAGAUGACCAUGAUUUUCAGGAACAGCAGCCCCUCCUUCCUGGUUGAGGCAGCCAGCAGGCACUCCUAUCCAUGAGCCACAGCUCAGCUAAGGCAAUCCAGUCCAGCUGCAUGCCCUCUCUCUGCUUCUGGGGAGGUAGGAAGGACCAGGGGCAUUCAUGCUUGUUUCUAGGGGGCCCUAACUGGAUCUCUGGAUCAAGACCUACUCAGGGGAGAAAGACUACUCUGGGUUCCAUGUUAGGACUGACGGGUGCAUCUUAACUGAGAUGCAGACAGUGGACAAUUCGAACUCUGACCUGAGAGCAAGCCCCAGCCUUGGUGCUCAUAAAUGCUCCGCUUGGUCCUUCACAUUUGUGUUCCACACAGGAGAAGCCAAGUUGUGAGCAGUGCACCUUCACAAGCAAAGCCUCGACUGAAAUCUUCUCUAACAAUUGGCUGGUCACUCCUGAGCGUAAUCUACCCCUUCAGAACACUGGGGAUGAAUUUAGAGACAUCGAAGCCUCCUGAUGAGAAAUACGUGUCCACUCACCGGGAGAACUGAAAUACCAGGAGAUUUCUACACAAAUCUCACAGAGUCCUUCUGGCGUCCUAGGGGUUUGCUCACAUAUAAGGGACUUUCUGGUAGGAAGAGAGUCUCUUUACAUUCUUUAUUAUAUGAUCCUGGUGGCUUUGUAGAGAGAUGGUACAGCUGACAGAUCAUGUCCUGUGGGGCCAGGGAGUUGUGUGUGUGUGAAUGCUCUGUGAACUUGGGCAAACUACUUAGCCUCUCUGAGCCUUAGCUGCAUCAGCUUUGAAAAACAGGAUGAUAAAAUGGAGUCACCUUAUUUGACUUUUAUAAAUACACUUACACAAUUACACAAGUUGUGGGGAUGGGAAGAGAGAGUUGGGGAAAGAGAAAUGAGAGAGAGAGAGAGAGAGAAUGAAUGAUAAACAAUUUAAACAACAGUGGGGUGUAGACCAACGCCCAGCCUGGCAAGGGUGAGCCCAGAGAGCCUUCCCUCCUGGCUAUUGGCAGCCUCCGCAUGGAAGCCUGUCGUUGACUUCUUAAUGAUGAGAGAUGUUCUGGGGGCACUCCAGGAUUCUUGGACAUGGGAUCGUCUUCACAGCUGUGUCUAUUGAAAGCUGAAGUUUCAGUCUCCCCUGCCCCCUGCCCCCUGGAGUGGCUUCCCAGGGGAAAUUCAAGGGCACCUGUGACUGCAUGGCUGCUUUCCUUUCCUUUACUCAAUGCCGUCCUUUGGUGACAGCCGUGUCUCAUGCCAGGAUACAUGAGGUGCUCUAUAGUAGUAUGUUUUCCCUCCUGGGAGGUAAUUUUAUUUAAAUGUGAAGUCAAAAGGAUCACUAAAUAGAACCAUGAGGCAACCACUCUGGGCACCUGCCUGGUGAUAUCCACAAGAGCUGACCACAGGUGCCCCCUGUGCCCAGCAAGUCCUUGGCUGGGCAGUCACACAACAGGCAUGGGGAUGUGUGGCCACCAAGCCCUCCAGGGCAGUGCUAUUUGUAAUAGUCCCAAAUGGGAGAGAUGGCAAACGCCCGCCAAUGGGGCAGCAUGGAUAAAUGGAUGCUGCACAGCAACGGCGAUGAGUGAGCCCCAGCACCCGUGAGCUCACCAGUGUAAUAUUGGGUGGAAGAAGCCAGGAGGAAGGGCAUUCACAUUCUGUGAUUCCAGCUACACUAUGUUUAAAUAUGGGCAGAGCUAGGCUGUGGUGCUGGAAGCCAGGACAGUGGGAUCCUUGCAUGGGGGUGAUGGUGCUGGUAGGUUCUGGUAAUUUCCUCUUCUUGAUCUGGGUGUAAACAUUUUGUGAAAAUUCAAUGAGCUGUACAUUUAUGACUGGUACAUUUAUGACUUUGUAUGAAUAUUAUACUUUCAUAAAACUACUUUAAAAUAUGAUUGUGAACCUUUUUUCACCUAUUUUCUGCCAAUUAGCACCGAAUUGCUCACUAACUAAUGAGUGGUGCUGGUUUUGACUUGCUUGCUACACUGUCUUGAGACAGAUAGGGUUUUCUGUGCUUUGUAUGACCCCCUCUGGAACCAGGGUGGGACUGGGAACACUCGGAAAACAUGUGCUGACAGAUGCUGGGCAUCCCCGUGUUGGUGGAGGCAUGCUCAUUCCUCAGCAAAAUACCCAUAUGGGGUGUUGGCAGGAAAGAGGACAGAAAAGGACAAAGUAUUUGUCUCUGCUAGCGUUCCUGGAGCUGUCUCACCUUGGCCAAGCCCCCGCCCAGUCCUCUCCUAACGUGGACAGACUAGGGGGCAGAAACUAGUCAGCCAAAGAAUUUCCAAGCUAGGGGUUGAUGAAUGCUUGGAUAAUUUGCCCAUGAACACGUUGGAUUCUUCUUCACUUGCCAUCACGGGGGGAUAAGUACCCCAGUUUUUUUUUGGAGAGAAUUGAGGGACUGUGCCAUUGCAGUGUGGAUUUCAAGAGAUUUUAAACGGAAGGCAGAGUAACAGUGUGGUUUGGGAAGCUCUAAAGACAGUUGUCCUGGUGCGGUUUCUUCCAUAAAAGAGUGGGGACGCCAUGGACCUGCUCACCAAAUUCCAGUCCCGACACAGUUCUGUGAGGCACUCUCCACAUCAGGGCAGACGGGCAGGAGGAGUUUACACAGCGAUCUGGGGGCCAUUAGAGCACUGAGGGAUCCAUUGCUGUCUCUUGUUUCUGUUUCCCACACUGUGCUGGGUGCUGGGAACAUGACGAUGAACUUGAAGGAAAUAAUGUGUACGGUGGUUCAUUUCCAAGACAUAGUGCCUUGAAUCAGUUUAGGUCAGCAAACUACAGAAGAAACAGGAUAUACUAGGCCCCUGCUUGGAGAGCUGAUGCCUGUUUGUUGCCCCUCACCCCCUUAGUUGCCCUUACCAGAACCAAAGGAGUUUAGUCUAAGAUGAAAGUUUACUAGCCUGCAAAAUAGCUCACUUUGUCUGUUCUUAUCAGCCUGCCCAGCUACUUAGGUCAUAAGUGAAAUACUUGAAGAGCCCCUGAGCUAACUAGGAUUGCAAUGCAUUGUGGCUGCAACAAGAUGCAGCAAGACAACUGUAAAGAAAAUGCCUAAAACCCCUACCCACCAACCCAUAGGCGAUGUCCAGGAAGACUGUGACCUCCAUAGUACUCAGCAUUUGAGGAACUGGGGGAGGGACCUGUGCACUAGGGGAUAAAUUGCUUGUUGAAACUGUGCUGGGUGUGCCUGUCCAUCAGAUACCCUAUCUUGCAAGACUGUCG
rnacentral:lncRNA from 1 species